UACGUAGGUGGCAAGCGUUGUCCGGAGUUAUUGGGCGUAAAGCGCGCGCAGGCGGUGCGGUAAGUCUCUGGUGAAAGCGCUCGGCUUAACUGGGCGAGGGCCGGGGAGACUGCCACGCUGGAGGGGAGCAGAGGCGAGUGGAAUUCCGGGUGUAGUGGUGAAAUGCGCAGAUAUCAGGAAGAACACCCGUGGCGAAGGCGGCUCUCUGGGACGGUACUGACGCUGAGACGCGAAAGCGUGGGGAGCGAACAGG
rnacentral:rRNA from 1 species